UUGUGAUGAAAUUAAACUGAUACAGCUGGAAUUACCGGCAGACUGUCAGUGGUGAGAAUCGGUUUUCUGACG